rnacentral:rRNA from 1 species
AGUGAACGCUGGCGGUAGGCCUAACACAUGCAAGUCGAACGGCAGCACAGGAGAGCUUGCUCUCUGGGUGGCGAGUGGCGGACGGGUGAGGAAUACAUCGGAAUCUACCUUUUCGUGGGGGAUAACGUAGGGAAACUUACGCUAAUACCGCAUACGACCUACGGGUGAAAGUGGGGACCGCAAGGCCUCACGCGAUUAGAUGAGCCGAUGUCCGAUUAGCUAGUUGGCGGGGUAAUGGCCCACCAAGGCGACGAUCGGUAGCUGGUCUGAGAGGAUGAUCAGCCACACUGGAACUGAGACACGGUCCAGACUCCUACGGGAGGCAGCAGUGGGGAAUAUUGGACAAUGGGCGCAAGCCUGAUCCAGCCAUACCGCGUGGGUGAAGAAGGCCUUC